GAUGAACGCUGGCGGCGUGCCUAAUACAUGCAAGUCGAGCGAACGGACGAGAAGCUUGCUUCUCUGAUGUUAGCGGCGGACGGGUGAGUAACACGUGGAUAACCUACCUAUAAGACUGGGAUAACUUCGUGAAACCGUAGCUAAUACCGGAUAAUAUUUUGAACCGCAUGGUUCAAAAGUGAAAGACGGUCUUGCUGUCACUUAUAGAUGGAUCCGCGCUGCAUUAGCUAGUUGGUAAGGUAACGGCUUACCAAGGCAACGAUGCAUAGCCGACCUGAGAGGGUGAUAGGCCACACUGGAACUGAGACACGGUCCAGACGCCUACGGGAGGCAGCAGUAGGGAAUCUUCCGCAAUGGGCGAAAGCCUGACGGAGCAACGCCGCGUGAGUGAUGAAGGUCUUCGGAUCGUAAAACUCUGUUAUUAGGGAAGAACAUAUGUGUAAGUAACUGUGCACAUCUUGACGGUACCUAAUCAGAAAGCCACGGCUAACUACGUG
rnacentral:rRNA from 1 species